AUACGUAGGUCCCGAACGUUGCGCGAAAUUACUGGGCGUAAAGGGUCCGUAGGCGGUCUGGUAAGUGGAAGGUGAAAGCCUGGGGCUCAACUCCAGAAUUGCCUUCCAAACUGCCGGACUUGAGGCAGGGAGAGGUCGGCGGAAUUCCCGGUGUAGUGGUGAAAUGCGUAGAUAUCGGGAGGAACACCAGUGGCGAAGGCGGCCGACUGGAACUGUCCUGACGCUGAGGGACGAAAGCCAGCGGAGCGAACCGGAUUAGAAACCCCAGUAGUCC
rnacentral:rRNA from 1 species